AACAUCCUUAAAAUAAGAGUGUGAUUGUUGUGGAUAAUUUACAAGACUCCACAAGUGAUUCUGUAAGUAACUGUUUGACAAUUGGUGAUGAUAAUACACAUCGAUCCUAGAGAAGAGGUAAGAAUGGCCUAGUGAUUGAUGAAACAAGUGGAGAUUUAAUUUAUGAGGUUUCGGAUGCAACUGAAGAUAAAAAAAAAAAUACUACAGUUAGUUAUUUCGUCUCAUCUGCCGAUCUGCCUUGGUGAAAUAAUGGAGGUGCACCCAGAUGAGUUGAAGCUAAUAUAGAAGAUAUUCUAGCAGAGUUGGCAAGCUCCACUUGUUCCCGGAGUGCUACCGAGUCAAAGUACAUGUGCUACGAUGUGUGAUAAAUGUUAGAGACUUUGCAGACAGAGUCGUGGGUAUAGGAUGUCGGUAUUGUGAAUGUCGUUUUAUGUUAUGUUAUAAAGUCCAUAUGAUAACAGAUUAUAUUUGAUUUGAGUACGAUGAAAAAAAUAAAUUGAAAGCUUUACUAUGUUUUCCACU